AAGCACUCCUACGGGAGGCAGCAGUGGGGAAUAUUGCACAAUGGGCGCAAGCCUGAUGCAGCCAUGCCGCGUGUAUGAAGAAGGCCUUCGGGUUGUAAAGUACUUUCAGCAGUGAGGAAGGUGGGUAUGUUAAUAGCAUAUUCAUUUGACGUUAGCUGCAGAAGAAGCACCGGCUAACUCCGUGCCAGCAGCCGCGGUAAUACGGAGGGUGCGAGCGUUAAUCGGAAUUACUGGGCGUAAAGCGCAUGCAGGUGGUUUGUUAAGUCAGAUGUGAAAGCCCGGGGCUCAACCUCGGAAUUGCAUUUGAAACUGGCAAACUAGAGUACUGUAGAGGGGGUAGAAUUUCAGGUGUAGCGGUGAAAUGCGUAGAGAUCUGAAGGAAUACCGGUGGCGAAGGCGGCCCCCUGGACAGAUACUGACACUCAGAUGCGAAAGCGUGGGGAGCAAACAGGAUUAGAUACCCUGGUAG
rnacentral:rRNA from 1 species